AAAAAUUUUCUUGGCUCAUACAAUCAAUGAUAUCUAAACUUUCAGCGGUUUCUGUUUGACCAGUUUGUUGGGACAAACAGUUUUCUAGUUGGGUCUCUUCAGCAACUUGUUCCUGUACUUACCAACUUUCAUCAUCAUCCCAUACAUCUUGAAGCUCUUCCUCUCUUCUUAACAUGGUUGCAUUCAAUGAUUUGUUCAAUUGAUCCUGUUGGAUACUUU
rnacentral:lncRNA from 1 species